UGCGCAGGGUGCAAGCGUUAAUCGGAAUUACUGGGCGUAAAGCGUGCGCAGGCGGUUUUGUAAGUCUGUCGUGAAAUCCCCGGGCUUAACCUGGGAAUUGCGAUGGAGACUGCAAGGCUAGAAUCUGGCAGAGGGGGGUAGAAUUCCACGUGUAGCAGUGAAAUGCGUAGAGAUGUGGAGGAACACCGAUGGCGAAGGCAGCCCCCUGGGUCAAGAUUGACGCUCAUGCACGAAAGCGUGGGGAGCAAACAGG
rnacentral:rRNA from 1 species